GGGCGUGGAAGGAAUCGUCCCGGCCGCAAGACCGCAUGCGGAUCGGCUGGGCACCCCGGUUCGACUCCGGGCACGUCCACCA
rnacentral:tRNA from 1 species